rnacentral:rRNA from 1 species
UGGAAUUCCACCUGUAGCGGUGAAAUGCGUAGAGAUGUGGAGGAACACCAGUGGCGAAGGCGACUCUCUGGUCUGUAACUGACGCUGAGGAGCGAAAGCGUGGGGAGCGAACAGGAUUAGAUACCCUGGUAGUCCACGCCGUAAACGAUGAGUGCUAAGUGUUAGGGGGUUUCCGCCCCUUAGUGCUGCAGCUAACGCAUUAAGCACUCCGCCUGGGGAGUACGGUCGCAAGACUGAAACUCAAAGGAAUUGACGGGGGCCCGCACAAGCGGUGGAGCAUGUGGUUUAAUUCGAAGCAACGCGAAGAACCUUACCAGGUCUUGACAUCCUCUGACAACCCUAGAGAUAGGGCUUUCCCUUCGGGGACAGAGUGACAGGUGGUGCAUGGUUGUCGUCAGCUCGUGUCGUGAGAUGUUGGGUUAAGUCCCGCAACGAGCGCAACCCUUGAUCUUAGUUGCCAGCAUUYAGUUGGGCACUCUAAGGUGACUGCCGGUGACAAACCGGAGGAAGGUGGGGAUGACGUCAAAUCAUCAUGCCCCUUAUGACCUGGGCUACACACGUGCUACAAUGGACAGAACAAAGGGCUGCGAGACCGCAAGGUUUAGCCAAUCCCACAAAUCUGUUCUCAGUUCGGAUCGCAGUCUGCAACUCGACUGCGUGAAGCUGGAAUCGCUAGUAAUCGCGGAUCAGCAUGCCGCGGUGAANNCGUUCCC